rnacentral:rRNA from 1 species
CCUACGGGUGGCAGCAGUGGGGAAUAUUGGGCAAUGGGCGCAAGCCUGACCCAGCCAAGCCGCGUGAAGGAAGAAGGCUUUCGGGUUGUAAACUUCUUUUGUCAGGGACGAAACAAGUGACGGUACCUGACGAAUAAGCCAAGGCUAACUACGUGCCAGCAGCCGCGGUAAUACGGAGGUGGCAAGCGUUAUCCGGAUUUACUGGGUGUAAGGGGCGUGUAGGCGGGACUGCAAGUCAGAUGUGAAAACCACGGGCCCAACCUGUGGCCUGCAUUUGAAACUGUAGUUCUUGAGUAUCGGAGAGGCAGGCGGAAUUCCUAGUGUAGCGGUGAAAUGCGUAGAUAUUAGGAGGAACACCAGUGGCGAAGGCGGCCUGCUGGACGACAACUGACGGUGAGGCGCGAAAGCGUGGGGAGCAAACAGGAUUAGAUACCCUUGUAGUC